AGGAUGAACGCUAUCUACAGGCUUAACACAUGCAAGUCGAGGGGCAUCAGGAAGAAAGCUCGCUUUCUUUGCUGGCGACCGGCGCACGGGUGAGUAACACGUAUCCAACCUGCCCUUUACUCGGGGAUAGCCUUUCGAAAGAAAGAUUAAUACCCGAUGGCAUAAUGAUUCCGCAUGGUUUCAUUAUUAAAGGAUUCCGGUAAAGGAUGGGGAUGCGUUCCAUUAGGUUGUUGGUGAGGUAACGACUCACCAAGCCUUCGAUGGAUAGGGGUUCUGAGAGGAAGGUCCCCCACAUUGGAACUGAGACACGGUCCAAACUCCUACGGGAGGCAGCAGUGAGGAAUAUUGGUCAAUGGGCGCUAGCCUGAACCAGCCAAGUAGCGUGAAGGAUGAAGGCUCUAUGGGUCGUAAACUUCUUUUAUAUAAGAAUAAAGUGCAGUAUGUAUACUGUUUUGUAUGUAUUAUAUGAAUAAGGAUCGGCUAACUCCGUGCCAGCAGCCGCGGUAAUACGGAGGAUCCGAGCGUUAUCCGGAUUUAUUGGGUUUAAAGGGAGCGUAGGUGGACUGGUAAGUCAGUUGUGAAAGUUUGCGGCUCAACCGUAAAAUUGCAGUUGAUACUGUCAGUCUUGAGUACAGUAGAGGUGGGCGGAAUUCGUGGUGUAGCGGUGAAAUGCUUAGAUAUCACGAAGAACUCCGAUUGCGAAGGCAGCUCACUGGACUGCAACUGACACUGAUGCUCGAAAGUGUGGGUAUCAAACAGGAUUAGAUACCCCUGGUAGUCCACACAGUAAACGAUGAAUACUCGCUGUUUGCGAUAUACAGUAAGCGGCCAAGCGAAAGCAUUAAGUAUUCCACCUGGGGAGUACGCCGGCAACGGUGAAACUCAAAGGAAUUGACGGGGGCCCGCACAAGCGGAGGAACAUGUGGUUUAAUUCGAUGAUACGCGAGGAACCUUACCCGGGCUUAAAUUGCAGUGGAAUGAUGUGGAAACAUGUCAGUGAGCAAUCACCGCUGUGAAGGUGCUGCAUGGUUGUCGUCAGCUCGUGCCGUGAGGUGUCGGCUUAAGUGCCAUAACGAGCGCAACCCUUAUCUUUAGUUACUAACAGGUUAUGCUGAGGACUCUAGAGAGACUGCCGUCGUAAGAUGUGAGGAAGGUGGGGAUGACGUCAAAUCAGCACGGCCCUUACGUCCGGGGCUACACACGUGUUACAAUGGGGGGUACAGAAGGCAGCUAGCGGGUGACCGUAUGCUAAUCCCAAAAGCCUCUCUCAGUUCGGAUCGAAGUCUGCAACCCGACUUCGUGAAGCUGGAUUCGCUAGUAAUCGCGCAUCAGCCACGGCGCGGUGAAUACGUUCCCGGGCCUUGUACACACCGCCCGUCAAGCCAUGGGAGCCGGGGGUACCUGAAGUACGUAACCGCAAGGAUCGUCCUAGGGUAAAACUGGUGACUGGGGCUAAGUCGUA
rnacentral:rRNA from 1 species